UGGGGAAUUUUGGACAAUGGGCGCAAGCCUGAUCCAGCCAUGCCGCGUGCCUGAAGAAGGCCUUCGGGUUGUAAAGGACUUUUGUCAGGGAAGAAAAGGCUGUUGCUAAUACCGACAGUUGAUGACGGUACCUGAAGAAUAAGCACCGGCUAACUACGUGCCAGCAGCCGCGGUAAUACGUAGGGUGCGAGCGUUAAUCGGAAUUAUUGGGCGUAAAGCGAGCGCAGACGGUUACUUAAGCAGGAUGUGAAAUCCCCGGGCUCAACCUGGGAACUGCGUUCUGAACUGGGUGACUAGAGUGUGUCAGAGGGAGGUAGAAUUCCACGUGUAGCAGUGAAAUGCGUAGAGAUGUGGAGGAAUACCGAUGGCGAAGGCAGCCUCCUGGGAUAACACUGACGUUCAUGCUCGAAAGCGUGGGUAGCAAACAGGAUUAGAUACCCUGGUAGUCCACGCCCUAAACGAUGUCAAUUAGCUGUUGGGCAACUUGAUUGCUUAGUAGCGUAGCUAACGCGUGAAAUUGACCGCCUGGGGAGUACGGUCGCAAGAUUA
rnacentral:rRNA from 1 species